rnacentral:tRNA from 1 species
UGUUUGGUGGCCGAGAAUUUAGGCGGUAGACUGUAGAUCUAUUUACGGGGUUAAGUUCCCUCAACAA